UUCUACCAAACAUUUUGGUAACAGAAAGUACCUUUUUUCUGCAACCCAUUAUAGUAUGAGAUAAACAUAAAUAUGUGUUCACCAAGGAUUACUUUCAACAUUAAGAACAGCCAUGAAAUCCAUCUUUGUUAUUUUACUACUCUUUUCUCUUCUCUUUGUUUGUAACUUGAGCUUUGCUAGAAAAGACAUGGGUGAAUAUUGGAAGAACACUACAAGAAAAUAUAUGAUUUGCUACCAUAAUUUUGCUACAGAGUGUAUUUCUAGUUAAUCUCCACAUGUCAACUCUUACAAUCUGUUAUACAAACUUGCAAAUGGUGAAUUCAUAAGUCUGUUUCUUUAGGUAUCUUGAAGAUCGCUGGGUCAGCUACUGGAUGGUAUUGAGUUUCAUAUUCUUUGCUAAAGAAUUUGCAUACUUUUUAGCAUUUUAUGAUAGGAACUACUAUAAUGUAUAUGUUUAUUCCUUGAGGAUCCGAUAUGAAAAGACAUGUGUUAUGGCUGAACUAUUUCAUGUUUUGGAAAUCUCAUUAACUUAUAUUUAUACAAUAUCCAGUUUGGUUUAUAUGAUACUUCUGUUAUCUUGCUUAUAUUUUUAGUCAAGUAAUCCAAUUUGUAGGGGAAGUACAAACAUGCUCUUAAAUAGUUCUUUAAGUGAUACGUAAUAGAUUCUCCCUUGCAUGAACAAUCAUCUUUUUAAAUCCAAUGUUAUUAUCAAUUUAAUAAUGUAUGCUCGUAGUACUUAGUUAAUAGGAGUUAAUAGGAAAUUAACCACAUCAUGUUUCAAUUUUGAUAUGUCCAAUUCUGAGUUUUUAUUUUAUUAUAUGGUAAAUUCGUUUUUUUAUAACCUCCCUCCUUUGAUCAGACCAUAGGCCCUAUGUCAUUAUUCAUUCUUUCUAGUGGUGGAGUUGAUGAAUAUGGGGGUGGAGCUCCUUGGGGAAAGGAAUAGGUGCUGCAGUUUCCCUUAACUUACAUUCUGACAAUUAUUUUCUUAACUUAUUAAUUAAUGGUGUUUAUGUGUCAAUGUUAUGUCUAUUGCCAGUAUUCAUAAUUAAAAGAAUACAAUAUCAUUUGUGUUAAUUAAAUAGAUGUUUGGAGUUACGACUUUGCUAUUAAAAUCAAAGAGAUUGUAAUGAACUUGGAAGAUAUCAUUUGUUUCCAGUGAACUAAACGAAUCUAGAUUUUACGCCUUUAAAACUUUUGAACUAUGCGAAUGUAGAUUUUACACCUUUAAAACUUUUGAACUAUGCGAAUGUAGAUUUUGUAGAGACAUAAAUAGUACUUCUUAAUUUUAAAGAUUAGAUGAUACUAAUAAUACUUUAAUGCCAAACAUUGGUUAUGGUUCAGAUAAUACUGUUACUUUCUAUCAUUUUUUUCUUCCUUUUUUCUUUGUGUAAUCAUGUUUAUCGAUCCUUUAUGUUUUUCUUUGGGCAUAGAAACAAGACAUAAUCCCUAAGGCAACGAAAGAUAGACAUUGGUUAUGGUUCAGAUAAUACUGUUACUUUCUAUCAUUGCAACGAAGGAUAGGCUCUCUCAGAUUACCGGUUAGCAAAAACGGUGUGACAGUGUUGGGAGAAUAUCUAGUGAUAGGGGGCAUAAGGAAUCAUAGUUCUACAAAAGAGAAAUGAAUUCGCUGAUCUCAAAACGGGUCGCUGUCCCAACGUUGUCAAGAGAAGAUAAAUGCCUACACCUUAAGACCGGCGUAGAGAAUCCCACUAGUAGCAGGCCCGGGCACUGGAAAAUCUGGCCGAUGUAUUCAUUGAAGGAUAUGUUAUCCUUAUGAUUUUUAAAUUACAACUGAUUGGUGUGCACAAAUUCAAAUAUUUUUAAUGUUUAUCUUUACAAUCGUAUAAUCAGUAGGAGUGGUGUUUAGUUAGAGGAUCUUUACACCAUAAGCGUAUUUUUGACAUGUUGUACUUUACAUAUUAUAUAUAGCUUACUGAAUUCCAUAUGCAAGUGUAACUGUUAUAAAUUGAUGCCAUCUAACUUUAUUUCAAAACACAGAAGUAUAAUAACAGGAAAUGUCUUCACCUGGCUAGUACACCAGCUUUGAGGUCAUAUUGUCAUACGGCAAUCCUUCCGAUGUUUGGAGUAAAAAGCUUCGUCAUGAGAAGUCGGCUCUGACAACGCUCGAGGAUGGAUCGUGCUUAAUUUCAUCUGCGACGGUUUAUGCUUGGAUUGCCGAGAUGUCGGACCAUCUAGAUCUGUCAGCGUUGCGCCUCUUUGACAACCUUUCAGUGGAUCAGUCAGUCCACAAAGAGAUGAGUCUUCUUAUGUUUCUGUGAUUUACUUUACUAUGACUACUAAGUGUUUGAUAAAAUGUCAUGUGUGUUAUUAAUCUGUUGUUGAGAAUACUUAGCAAAGUUGAUGUGAAUGUCUAGAAUUUGUGUAGUUAUAAUAACUUAUAUUAAACUGUGACGCAUGGCUGCUAAACUGAGCUGUUGCAACUGCUGUUCUGAGUGUUGCAGGGGACGUAAAGUGUCGUGCCUUUUUAUGAGAAAUGCGGAGAUUUCAUAGUAACUUAAUCAAUGAAUAUGCUCUAAGAAUUAGAUUGUGCAGCUCGGGAACAUUUGAUCUGCAGAGAUUUCAUAAUAACUUAACUGUUAUGGAUGAACAUUUGAUAUCUGAAGAUUUCAUAAUAACUUAACUGUUAUGGUUUAGAUAACACUGUCACUAUUGUAAUGCUAGACAUGUUUAAAUGUUAGUAGUUGCAAGUGUAUAGUGAGUUAGUAGUUUAAAUCUAAUGAAACAAAAGUUGUGAUUUGUGAAGUUUAACUAAAAUAGAAUGUGAUUUUGAUGUAUUUUUCUUUUGUUAAUAAUAUUAAGAAUUGCUUUUUAGUUGUAUUUUUAAUUUAGUAAUUAUCAACAAUUAUGAUACCCUUUUAUAAGUUUUA